rnacentral:lncRNA from 1 species
CAUGGCAAUUUCCGAGCCCGAGGAAGAUGCCCCCGCUUCUUCUUCGACUUCUCCCUCCACAACCGGUGGUUGCUCAGGCACCUCUUCAAUGCGAGCCAGAGGUUCCUAUCCAACACUUAUAAAAGUAAUUUAAAAAAAACGGAAAAUUUCGGCAUGACCAUUGCUGUAAAACAACAAAUCAGUCUACCCGAAUUUUAUACCUGCAUAAAAAAAACUCCCACCCACAUAUACCCCCUCGGCACGAUGGCCGAACCCUUCUCAACGACUCGGCACGAUGGCCGGGCCCACAUUCCUCAUAUCAACUGACACGAUGGUCGGGAUCACAUUCAAUCAUAUUUCAUCAAACAAAUCCAUAACUAGCAGCAAAUUAAUCAAAUUAAACCAUAAUUUGACACUAAGCAGCGGCAAUUUGAUCAAAUUGAACCCAUUUAGCAGCAAAUUAAUCAAAUUGAACCAUAUUUUACCACUAAACAUCAUCAAAUUGAUCUAAUUGAACCAAUUUAACACCAAAUUCUUCAAACUGAACUAUAAUUUGACACUAAACAACAGCAAAUUCAUGACAUUGAACCCAUUUAACAGAAUAUUGAACCCUAACCCUAACCCUCACCUGGGCAGGGGCGGUGACGGCGGCGGGGGGGGGGGGGGGGGCCGCGGUGGUGGUAUCGGCGGCGGGGACGGCCGCGGUGGGGGCGGCGUCGGCGGUGGAGGAGGUCGCGGGGGUCGCGGUGGCCAUGUUGGUGGCGUCUGCGGCGGGCGUGGUGGUGGAGGCGAGGUCGUCGGUGGGGGCCGCGGUGGGGGUGGCGGCCGCGGGGUUGGCAGGGGACGCUGGGUCGGCGGCCCAGUCCGACCGCGCCCCCUGCGAUGGGGGCCGCCAGAUCCCGAUCCGGCCGCCGUGGCGUCCAGCCGCUUCCCGCUCCACGUCAAGCGUCCGGAGCCGCCGGCGGAGCUACUCAGAGCGGCUAGGGUUUGGGAGAAGGGAGGCGGCAGCGCGCGAAGGGCGGCGGCGAGAAGGGCGGCGCGCGGAGGGCGAGCGGCGGGAGCGGAAGGAUGGCGGCCGGCGGCUCGGGCAGGGCUUCGCCUGCGUCGGGAGAGAUGGUCGCCGCUGCUGGUCGGUUAGGACGCGCGGGACUGGAAAUGCGAAAUUUCGCUAAGUCCCGCAUGUCAAAUAUAUACCCCAAGGGUCACCAGUAGCGGGUGGUAUAUGGAAAUUCCCGCCACUAGUGACCCUCCUAGGGUUUCUGGUACACGAGACCACCGGUGGCGGGGAUUUUGGUAUACCCGCAAUUGGUGACCCACCAGUGGCGGGGUUUUUGUAUAUGAAAACCCCGCCACUGGUAAUGUCGCACCAGUGGCACCCGGGGUACCACCGUUGCACCACGCGUGGGCCUCGUCACCGGGUUCCCGGGAGGGUCUCAUCCCGGGCAGCAGCCACAAGCAGCCCGGCAAGCUACCAGCCUGGAAGAGCCCUCGCGAGUGCAGCAAUCACAGCUGCCUCCCCUGCCUCCUUGGCUGUCAGCCGACAACCGGCUCAAGGGGCCGGCGGCCCCCAGCGAUGGGGCCAGCCGCGCGAGCGGGCAUGGUGCUGCCCGCACCGGCCAGCGAGUUGAGUCGCGGGCCGAGGACACGCAGCGCCAGCUACGCUAUGAGCAUACCGCGUCGCGAGCGACGCCCGGGGGCUCGCACCCCGCACACCCGGAUGCGUCCGGAGGUAGAGCGGAUAGCAGCCGCUCGGGAAACCGGCUGCCUCCCGCACGAACCCCGGCGGAAGCCAUCAUCGCUGCGCGGGUCAUGGUGCGGUAUGAACCGCAGCAGGGCAUGCCGGCGCACGAGACAUGGGGCGAGGAUUUGGACGCGCUCCUCGUGCUCGCCGCCCAACAGCCGCAAGGCGAGGGCGUCCCGGCAGGCUCCGGCCGCGGGCAGAACCUGGAGCGCGGAGACGCGCCCCGCGCCUCACGACAAGGGGGGAACCCUCCCCCGCAGGGAGGCCAGGGAGACGGGGACCCAGAGGGGUCCUCGGAUAUGUCACCCACGGUUGCACGGGGUGACGCGCGCGGCAUCUUGAAUGCCCGCCAGCAGGAAGAUCUCCGCCAGCGCUUGGAGCACCAGCGCCGGCGCGAGGUAGAGCGCCAAUGCCCACAGGAGAAGGAAGAUGCUCCCAUGGGCCUCGAGGACGGCUGCACCGCGUUCACGCGCGAGUUGCGCCGGGUGACAUGGCCCCGCAAGUUCCUAGCGCCAGCGCUCGGCACGUACGGCGGGACCGUGAAUCCCAAGGAUUUCCUCUUGACCUACACGUUGGGGAUGCAUGCCAUCGGCGCCGACAACAAGGUCAGAGCCAAUUGGUUCUCGAUGGUCCUGAAAGGCUCAGCGAGAACCUGGCUGCUUAACCUGCCCGCCGGGUCCAUCGCCACAUGGGCUGACCUGUGCGAGCAGUUUGUGAGCGCGUUCCAGGGCGGCUAUAAGCGCUCGGGAACCAUGGCGGAGCUGCACACCAUCGUGCAGAAACCGGGAGAGAAGUUGCGGAGUUUCGUCAACCGCUUCUCCAACCUCUCCUACUCUAUUCCGGAGGCAGAGGCGGCUGCCAUCGUCAACACCUUCGCCAUCAACGUCCGCGACCCCAAGAUGUGCGAGAAGCUGAGCACGCACCGGGUCCGGACGACACAGGAUCUGUACGCCCUGGCGCACAAGUGCACCAUGGCCGAGGAAGGGCGCUUAGCGCCAAAGCUAGCAGCCAAAGCUGCCGCGAGCCCUGGCGAGGGUUCGCAGAAGAAGGGUUCCUGCAAGCGCAGCGGUAAAUAGGUUCUCGCUGCGGAUUCGGGGGCUGUUGCCGCGAGGCCUGCGAAGAAGGCCUCGCCGGGUGGCGGGGCCUAGUGGCUAGCAGGGCGACGCGCCCCGCUGCCCCAUCCACAGCAACUCCACCCACGACGCGCAGGACUGCCGCAUCCUGCAGGGGAUCAAGCAGCGGCGCGAGUAGCGCCGCGCUGCUGGCGCCUGCUUCAAUUGCGGCGACAUCGGGCAUCUCUCCCGAGAUUGUCCAAACCACCCCAGAGCAGGGCCGAGGCCUGCCGGCGGCGGCGCCGGCAGGGACAAACCCCGGGGGGGGGGGGGGGGACGCGGCCAGGCCCGCGCGGGCAGGGAGCGCCCUCCCCGGGGACGCGACAGGGCUCGCGCUGAGGAGCAGCGCGAAUCCGACUGCACCGGCGGUGACGAGCCGGGCUUCUAGGAGCCUCCCGGCGUCGCCUGUAUUCAUGGGGGAGCCUAUGCUCUCCCAUCCCAUGCCGCGGUGAAGCGCCUCACCCGGGAUGUGUGCGCGCUGUUGCCGGACGCGGAGCCGCAGCAGCCGCUGAGGUGGUCGCACGUGCCGAUCACCUUCAGUGUUGACGAUCACCCAGCGCGGCAGCUGGGUUCAGGGGUAAUACCCUUUGUCGUUUCACCGAUCAUCAGCAACAUGACGGUGACCAAGGUACUGGUGGACAACGGAGCAGGGCUCAACCUCCUGUCCACCAGGUUGGUGGAGAUGCUCUAGUUGCCGGUGGAGCAGCUGAAGCCCACCGACCUGUUCCGGGGGGUGAACCCCAGCAUCGUGCGCCCCCUAGGGCGCAUCACGCUGCCGGUGACCUUCGGGUCCCGGAAGGCGUUCAGGACCGAACACAUCGUGUUCGACGUGGUGCACACCCUGUUACCCUACAACGGGAUCCUUGGUCGGCCGGCGCUGAUCAGGUUCAUGGCGGCUACACAUUGCGCCUACGGCGUGAUGAAGAUGCCGUCCGUGUACGGGGUUCUCUCCAUCAGGUGCGACCUCAAGGACGCGGCC